rnacentral:lncRNA from 1 species
CCCCACCUCUAAUGCUCAAAACUGUUCGGGAUUUGAAUCCUUCAUUUCAUUCUGUUUCUUUUCCUUUGUAUGUAUGAAACCUUAAGCCUCAUCUACAAAAUCUUAUUAUCCUGCCUAUGUAGAUAUCAGAUGUGGCAUGAAUGCCAAUGAGACAACUAUCCAUCCAAGUCACAAUUUGUAACAGUAAACCAUUGUAGGUCAAAAUAAGG